rnacentral:rRNA from 1 species
GAUGAACGCUGGCGGCGUGCCUAAUACAUGCAAGUCGAGCGAACGGACGAGAGGCUUGCUUCUCUGAUGUUAGCGGCGGACGGGUGAGUAACACGUGGAUAACCUACCUAUAAGACUGGGAUAACUUCGGGAAACCGGAGCUAAUACCGGAUGAUAUUUUGAACCGCAUGGUUCAAAAGUGAAAGACGGUCUUGCUGUCACUUAUAGAUGGAUCCGCGCUGCAUUAGCUAGUUGGUAAGGUAACGGCUUACCAAGGCAACGAUGCAUAGCCGACCUGAGAGGGUGAUCGGCCACACUGGAACUGAGGCACGGUCCAGACUCCUACGGGAGGCAGCAGUAGGGAAUCUUCCGCAAUGGGCGAAAGCCUGACGGAGCAACGCCGCGUGAGUGAUGAAGGUCUUCGGAUCGUAAAACUCUGUUAUUAGGGAAGAACAUAUGUGUAAGUAACUGUGCACAUCUUGACGGUACCUAAUCAGAAAGCCACGGCUAACUACGUG